CCUACGGGAGGCAGCAGUGAGGAAUAUUGGUCAAUGGGCGUAAGCCUGAACCAGCCAAGUAGCGUGCAGGAUGACGGCUCUACGGGUUGUAAACUGCUUUUAUACGGGAAUAACGCGCCUUACGUGUAGGGCUUUGCAUGUACCGUAUGAAUAAGGACCGGCUAAUUCCGUGCCAGCAGCCGCGGUAAUACGGAGGGUCCGGGCGUUAUCCGGAUUUAUUGGGUUUAAAGGGAGCGUAGGCCGCAUGUCAAGCGUGCUGUGAAAUGUGCGGGCUCAACCCGGGCCUUGCAGUGCGAACUGGGGUGCUUGAGUCCGCGGAAAGCAGGCGGAAUGCGUGGUGUAGCGGUGAAAUGCUUAGAUAUGACGAAGAACCCCGAUUGCGAAGGUAGCUUGC
rnacentral:rRNA from 1 species